UAGGGAAUCUUCGGCAAUGGGGGCAACCCUGACCGAGCAACGCCGCGUGAGUGAAGAAGGUUUUCGGAUCGUAAAGCUCUGUUGUAAGUCAAGAACGGGUGUGAGAGUGGAAAGUUCACACUGUGACGGUAGCUUACCAGAAAGGGACGGCUAACUACGUGCCAGCAGCCGCGGUAAUACGUAGGUCCCGAGCGUUGUCCGGAUUUAUUGGGCGUAAAGCGAGCGCAGGCGGUUUGAUAAGUCUGAAGUUAAAGGCUGUGGCUCAACCAUAGUUCGCUUUGAAACUGUCAAACUUGAGUGCAGAAGGGA
rnacentral:rRNA from 1 species